rnacentral:rRNA from 1 species
UACAGGGGGUGCAAACGUUGCUCGGAAUCAUUGGGCGUAAAGCGCACGUAGGCGGUCUGUUAUGUCGGAUGUGAAAGCCCUUGGCUUAACUGAGGAAGUGCAUCCGAAACUGGCAGGCUAGAGUACUAAAGAGGGUCGCGGAAUUCCCGGUGUAGAGGUGAAAUUCGUAGAUAUCGGGAGGAACACCGGUGGCGAAGGCGGCGACCUGGGUAGAUACUGACGCUGAGGUGCGAAAGCGUGGGGAGCAAACAGGAGUUAGAAAC